rnacentral:rRNA from 1 species
UACGAACUGUGCGAACGUUAUUCGGAAUCACUGGGCUUACAGGGUGCGUAGGCGGCCGAACAAGUCAGGUGUGAAAGCCCUCGGCUCAACCGAGGAACUGCGCUUGAAACUGUUUGGCUCGAGUCAACUAGAGGUGCACGGAACUUCCAGUGGAGCGGUGAAAUGUGUUGAUAUUGGAAGGAACACCGGAGGCGAAAGGCGGUGCACUGGGGGUUGGU